rnacentral:rRNA from 1 species
GUGCCAGCAGCCGCGGUAAUACGUAGGGUGCAAGCGUUGUCCGGAAUUAUUGGGCGUAAAGAGCUCGUAGGCGGUUUGUCGCGUCUGCUGUGAAAUCCCGAGGCUCAACCUCGGGCCUGCAGUGGGUACGGGCAGACUUGAGUGCGGUAGGGGAGAUUGGAAUUCCUGGUGUAGCGGUGGAAUGCGCAGAUAUCAGGAGGAACACCGAUGGCGAAGGCAGAUCUCUGGGCCGUUACUGACGCUGAGGAGCGAAAGCAUGGGGAGCGAACAGGAUUAGAUACCCUGGUAGUCC